rnacentral:rRNA from 1 species
CAUGCAAGUCGAACGGCAGCACAGGAGAGCUUGCUCUCUGGGUGGCGAGUGGCGGACGGGUGAGGAAUACAUCGGAAUCUACUUUUUCGUGGGGGAUAACGUAGGGAAACUUACGCUAAUACCGCAUACGACCUACGGGUGAAAGCAGGGGAUCUUCGGACCUUGCGCGAUUGAAUGAGCCGAUGUCGGAUUAGCUAGUUGGCGGGGUAAAGGCCCACCAAGGCGACGAUCCGUAGCUGGUCUGAGAGGAUGAUCAGCCACACUGGAACUGAGACACGGUCCAGACUCCUACGGGAGGCAGCAGUGGGGAAUAUUGGACAAUGGGCGCAAGCCUGAUCCAGCCAUACCGCGUGGGUGAAGAAGGCCUUCGGGUUGUAAAGCCCUUUUGUUGGGAAAGAAAUCCAGCUGGCUAAUACCCGGUUGGGAUGACGGUACCCAAAGAAUAAGCACCGGCUAACUUCGUGCCAGCAGCCGCGGUAA